CUUUAGGGUAGGCACCCAGUGUUAUAAACGUCUGAAGAUUAUUGUAGAUAGGCACUUUAUAGGUUAGAAAAGUAGAUGUUUGUUUGGUAAGAAUUUGGUGGUUAUUAUACGUUCUACACGGGUAUUAGAGUAGAUAGGUCAAGGUCGGAGAUCAGUAAUGUUGUUUCUAAUCUUCACAUAUACGCUUUUGGCUAUAUUUAGAGGAUAAAACUUACCGGAAUGGUAGGUCAUCAAUCAUCUAUAAAUCGUCGCAUUUAGCGCAUCCAUUGUUCGUUCCUGCGUUGUGCUGGGACAUAAAUACUUUGUUUUCUGUGGAGUUUACACAUUUCACCAUGGAAAUACACUUGUAACAUGGAAAUACUACGUGGAAAUAGCUUUAACUUGGUAAAACGGGUUGAAUCGGUGUUGUUUAUUACUGUCGCAGUAAACAUUGACGUCUGUCAAUGACAGUUGGUUUGUUGUCUGUGGUUUUGCACAGACAAUCAGUCAUACAUAAAGAGUAUUUAUGAAUAAACAUUUGGUAUGUGUUCUUUUAUAUUUUGCAAUUCGUAGUUAUAAAUAAUGUCCUUAUUUUUAGCUUUCGAAAUUAGUAAUUCUUUUUAUUUUUGGUGACUUCGGUUUUCUGUAAAUGGAAUCCGGUCAGUUGCGGUGUCAUUGAAUGGGAGGUUUUCCAUUCACCACUUUGUCUGUGGCUUUGCCAUUUUUUCAAUUUCGCUUGAUCACUACUAUCUUUCGUGACAAGAUGUAAGACGUAAUUUGUACAUCAUGUCGGCAAUUGAUUCAUGGGGUAUGUAUUUUAUUUAAAGAUUGUAUUUCCUAAAACUCGGUUAAAUUCGGUGUUCAAUGUUUUAAUCGUUGAUAUAUUUUGUUCCAGUUUGGCCCAAAAUAUGAUUAACCUAGCUUCCUAUGCGCCGGUAAUGGCGGCAUAACCUUUUCACCUCUUUCAAACCAACUUGGUGAGUUGUCCCCACUUUCUAAAUAUACGGAAGGAAAGGCGAAGUUGUUUAUUGUCAAUUGCAAUUAGCUAAUGUCGUGUUUUGGUGUGAAUUUCCAGCAAUUCCUUGACAAAGAUGAGACAUCAUCUUGUUUCACCGCGUGGGCCUACGUCGCCACGUCUGGUGUCUAAUAUAAGGGACUCGGCUUAGAAACCGGGUUCCUUUUGGCUAGGCCUGUCCUUUGGCUAGGCCUACUUCUUGCCUUGGCUUGGCCCUUGGCUUUUGGAAGAUCUAGGGUGGUGUCGCACCUUGCUAGUUGGGAAGCCGUCUUCUCCACUUAAUUUUUGGACUCGAGGUGAAGUGUUUAUUCGAUAAAACUGUGAGUUAAAAACUUAUAUUUACAUUAGUGACUGUGUUCCUUUGCUGGAAAGGAUAAACAAUAUUUAAGUCUGAAUUUCUUUUUAACGUGAACUUUCUACAUGGUAAAUUCUAUUAUUAUUAUGAAACCUGUAAUUCCUAUGUAGGAUUUUGUGUGUAUUGCAGGCCCGAGUAUGCCUGAGAUGUACUUAAGUUAAAUUUAAUUAGUAAUAGUUACGGUACGUAAUUUAAAUGUUAAGUCUCGAGGCCGCAGCAGGUCUUAUUGUGAUGUAAAGUGAAUAAAAGUAUUUAGUAAAUAAA